rnacentral:rRNA from 1 species
AGUAGACCGCCUGGGGAGUACGGUCGCAAGAUUAAAACUCAAAUGAAUUGACGGGGGCCCGCACAAGCGGUGGAGCAUGUGGUUUAAUUCGAUGCAACGCGAAGAACCUUACCUACUCUUGACAUCCAGAGAAGUUACCAGAGAUGGUUUCGUGCCUUCGGGAACUCUGAGACAGGUGCUGCAUGGCUGUCGUCAGCUCGUGUUGUGAAUGUUGGGUUAAGUCCCGCAACGAGCGCAACCCUUAUCCUUGUUUGCCAGCACGUAAUGGUGGGAACUCCAGGGAGACUGCCGGUGAUAAACCGGAGGAAGGUGGGGACGACGUCAAGUCAUCAUGGCCCUUACGAGUAGGGCUACACACGUGCUACAAUGGCGUAUACAGAGGGCUGCCAACCAGCGAUGGUGAGCGAAUCCCACAAAGUACGUCGUAGUCCGGAUCGGAGUCUGCAACUCGACUCCGUGAAGUCGGAAUCGCUAGUAAUCGUGAAUCAGAAUGUCACGGUGAAUACGUUCCCGGGCCUUGUACACACCGCCCGUCACACCAUGGGAGUGGGCUGCACCAGAAGUAGAUAGCUUAACCUUCGGGAGGGCGUUUACCACGGUGUGGUUCAUGACUGGGGUGAAGUCGUAACAAGGUAGCCCUAGGGGAACCUGGGGCUGGAUCACCUCCUUACCUAA